CCCUUAGAUGUUCUGGGCCGCACACGCGCUACACUGAAGGAGGCAGCGUGUACUCCUGGAUCGAAAGAUUUGGGUAACCCGCGAAUCUCCUUCGUGCUAGGGAUUGAGGUUUGCAAUUAUCCUUCAUGAACGAGGAAUUCCCAGUAAGUGCAAGUCAUAAGCUUGCGCUGACUACGUCCCUGCCCUUUGUACACGCCGCCCGUCGCUACUACCGAUUGAAUGAUUUAGUGAGGACUUCGGACUGGGACCGAUGCGGCUUUCGGGCUGCGUCGGUAUUCUGGAAAGAUGUCCAAACUGUAUCAUUUAGAGGAAGUAAAAGUCGUANCA
rnacentral:rRNA from 1 species